rnacentral:rRNA from 1 species
AAUCAACGCUGGCGGCGUGCCUAACACAUGCAAGUCGCGCGCGAAAGGGGGGCAACCCCCGAGUAAAGCGGCGAACGGGUGAGUAACACGUGGGUAAUCUACCUUCGAGUGGGGAACAACAUCGGGAAACUGGUGCUAAUUCCGCAUGACCAUCGUCGGGGCUUCGGUUCUGACGAUCAAAGCUGGGGAUCGUAAGACCUAGCGCUUGAAGAUGAGCCCGCGUCCGAUUAGCUAGUUGGCGGGGUAAUGGCCCACCAAGGCUCCGAUCGGUAGCCGGCCUGAGAGGGCGGACGGCCACACUGGAACUGAGACACGGUCCAGACUCCUACGGGAGGCAGCAGUGGGGAAUUUUUCGCAAUGGGGGCAACCCUGACGAAGCAACGCCGCGUGGAGGAUGAAGGCCUCGGUCGUAAC